rnacentral:rRNA from 1 species
GAACUGCAGGACACAUGAACACCGACACGUUGAACGCAUAUGGCGCAUCGGACGUUUUACCCCGGCCGAUGUACACAUUCUUGAGU